rnacentral:rRNA from 1 species
AGAGUUUGAUCAUGGCUCAGGAUGAACGCUGGCGGAAUGCUUUACACAUGCAAGUCGAACGGCAGCACGGGAGCUUGCUCCUGGUGGCGAGUGGCGAACGGGUGAGUAAUGUAUCGGAACGUACCCCGUCGUGGGGGAUAACUCUCCGAAAGGAGAGCUAAUACCGCAUACGACCCGAGGGUGAAAGCGGGGGACCUUCGGGCCUCGCGCGGCAGGACGAACCGAUGUGCGAUUAGCUAGUUGGCGGGGUAAUGGCCCACCAAGGCGACGAUCGCUAGCUGGUCUGAGAGGAUGAUCAGCCACACUGGGACUGAGACACGGCCCAGACUCCUACGGGAGGCAGCAGUGGGGAAUAUUGGACAAUGGGCGCAAGCCUGAUCCAGCAAUGCCGCGUGUGUGAAGAAGGCCUUCGGGUUGUAAAGCACUUUUAUCAGGAGCGAAAUACCACGGGUUAAUACCCUAUGGGGCUGACGGUACCUGAGGAAUAAGCACCGGCUAACUACGUGCCAGCAGCCGCGGUAAUACGUAGGGUGCGAGCGUUAAUCGGAAUUACUGGGCGUAAAGCGUGCGCAGGCGGUUUUGUAAGACAGGCGUGAAAUCCCCGAGCUCAACUUGGGAAUGGCGCUUGUGACUGCAAGGCUAGAGUAUGUCAGAGGGGGGUAGAAUUCCACGUGUAGCAGUGAAAUGCGUAGAGAUGUGG